CAAUUCACUGAAUUCGAAUCACUGUUUAUGAGCCACAGCUUAAAAUCCCUGGAGGAGGUGUGUGCUGACUUGAUCAGAGGAGCAAAGGAAAGGAAUCUCAAAGUGAAAGGACCAGUUCAAAUGCCUACUAAGACUUCGAGAAUCGCUACAAGAAAAACUCCUUUUGGUGAAGGUUCUAAGACAUGGGAUCAUUUCCAGAUGAGAAUCCACAAGCAACUCAUUGACUUGCACAGCCCUUCUGAGAUUAAGCAGAUUACUUCCAUCAGUAUGGAGCCAGGAGUUGAGGUGGAAGUCAUCAUUGGAGAUGCUUAA
rnacentral:lncRNA from 1 species